rfam:Providencia burhodogranariea DSM 19968 genomic scaffold scaffold00002, whole genome shotgun sequence.
AAAAGUUGUCAAAAUAAUUUUAAAAUGAUACCUCUUUAAUAUAGAUAACGAAUAAUAGUGAAAAGACUGCAUACAUGAACGCAUUACUUCAAGUGAUUAGCCUAAUUAUUAUCAGCGUGGUGGUGAUUAUUAUCCCACCGUGCGGGGCUGCACUUGGACGACGAAGGCUGAAUUAGUAGCCAAAUCUCACGAGAACCCCGCACCGAAAGGCGCGGGGUUUUUUUUAGGCAAAGUUUCACGACAUCACAGAAUAUAUAAAAAUAAAUUAAUAUAAAUUAAUUGGAUAGACAGGAGAG